CCUCACCAAGGAAAACCCUUUGGGACAAAACCUUGAUGAGGGAAAAAGAGUAAAGUCUCCAAGGCCUAGGGAUUGGCCAGUGAGUCUUUGUGCCUUACCAACAAUGUAAGGGACACAAAGACUCUGGAUCAUGGCCUCUACAAUCAUCCCACGCCUUGUACUCUCCUUACUGCCUAAUCUUGGUCUCUCCCCCUUUCACCUAACCUCUUGUUAGGUUGAAGUGCUCGGACACACCAGAUCAGCC
rnacentral:lncRNA from 1 species